UCCUUCUUCUCCUUCUUCUCUUCUCCCCCUUUCUCUCUCUUCUCUCUAUUCUGCUCCCUCUUUUUUUCUUCUUCGCCUGUGUCGAGCGAAUGACUUAAACUGGUAAAUGUUAAUAUGAUCAGCGACCGCCAUUAGCGACCGCACGCGGGCGCUGAUUUUUAAUGACAUGGACACAUCAGCGAUCGCCUAGCGGUCGCUGAUAGAGAUUGGUCGCAAAAAAUAAACGCGCCAAUAUUUGGCACCAAUUUUUGGGAGGGAAAAUUAAUCCAGUGACCGCAUGCGGUCGCUGAUAAUGAUUAACAACUAGAAGCAAUUUCAGUUGCAAAUAGCUGUCGCUAUUAUUGAUAUCAGCGACCGGAAAGGGCGGUCGCUGAAAGGUUUGGUCGCAGAUAGAGAAUUUUCUUGUAGUGUGAGAGAUGGUCAUAUUUAUUUAUCUGUUCUUGAUUAACAAUUCAGAAUAGUAAGCAUAAUUAAUAAGACGUGUAUUGCUUUAAGUGAAGCAAAAUUAAAGUGAAGUUGUAAUCUUAAAUCUCCAUAAUCUGAUUUUUAACUAGUGGUAAUUAGAAUUAUUUUAAUUAAAUAAUUUAAUUUAUAACCUUCAAUUGAUUGUUUAAAUAAAAUUAGUUCGGUUAAGAGUUAGUAUUUGGUAAUUUGUAUUAAUAAUUCCUCGUGGGAACGAUACUCUACUUACACUUUAUUACUUGUUGACCACGUAUACUUGCGUGUUGUGCAUAAUUAGAUUACACCCAACAAAGGCAUAUGUAUAUAGAAAAAGAGAAGAAUCCAAUUUCCAUAAAGAAAAUGAUUUGAAUAGAUCUCCCUCAAUCUAUGAAAAUUAUUUAUUCCCGUGGAAAAAUGGAAACAAGAUAUUUUUAUUUAUGUUGUCUCCAUCAAAUAUUCAACUUUAUUCAGCUUCCAAAUAAUUAAGGAAUUGAAACAUGAAGAUUUGACAAAAUUAAGAAGAUUUGACAAGACCAUGCUGGAGAUCCUAGGAGGGACUUCCCAUCAUGUUUCGGACCCCUAAGGGAUUCCUCUCUUAGGCACUUCAUUUUUUCUAAGUCUUCAAAAGCAUAUUUCGGGAAUUGUUCAAAAAAUUAAAACGGGACUUCAAACUUGAAGUGUUAUGCACAUUUGUCACUCAAAAGACGCGACUCAUGUCCAUGGGGGAAAAUGUGGACCCAAGUAUUAAUUAGGGUUCACAUGUGGCCUAAAAAAUAAAUGGAAAAUGAAAAAGUCAAAAAUAAAUGAACAAAAGAAUAAAUGAACAAAAAGGGAAACACGUAGGAUUUUUGCCCCUUAGGGUUUGGCCACCCUAGGGUUCAAUCACCCCUAGGUGGUCCCACUUUGUGUUAAACUUUGGCAAUAACUUUCCUGAUUGAAGUUGAUUUAAACUACCGGAAUGAUACAAGGAAAAAAACAAGGAUACGAACCAAAGAAUAACAAGAAAAUUUGGGUGGCCCUAGUCACCCUAUGGUUCGGCCAUCCUAGGGUUAGGUCACCCUAGGGGGUGGCUUCCUAGGUGGCACACCUCUUUUUUUUGUUUAAUGUUAUGUCGGACGAGCACUGAGCGAUGUAAUGACGGAAUAACAAGUUUAAAAUCAAGAAAAGUGACAAGAAAACUCAUGAGAAUUUAGGAAUGAUUUUCCUUGAAUCCUCCGUAACAAGAGAAGCUUCUUACAGGAUCGAAAUCACGAGAAACUGAGCAAGAAUAAAAGCCAAGUCAAAUGAAGGAUGUCGAGGGAGACACGAACCUAGGGUUUGGCCCUCCCCUAGGAUUCGAUCCCCUAGGGCUUGGCCACCCAUGGGCCAUAACAAAGACCUCCGAAGCAUUUCAACGAUAAAUUUGAGGCAACUCAUCAUAAGAAAUAUUUGAGGGAUUUUGAUUGGCAGCUAGAUGGACAAGAAGAUUUAGACAUCACUUUUGUGACGACACCAAAAUCGGAUCUAUUUCUCUUUCUGAUCUUGUGCGUCAAAUACUAUAUUGAUCUAGCUUUAAAAUAUUAUUCAAUGUUAAAAUAGUUUAAAAUACAAGAUAAUUUAAAACAUUACUGUCUUUCUUUCUAUUCCUUGCGUUCCCUGAAUCGCAACCGUUACGAUUUUACUUUAUGUAGAAAUCAUAUUUAUUUUAUGAUUUAUUUUAUCAGAGUGAUAUGAGUAUAAUAUAACCCUUGAUUUGAUAAAUUUUUAUUUCCCACAUUCUUGAUCUAUUUACAUUGAAUUUUGGAGAUAGUAUAUGUGAUGUACUCACCUACUUUAGAAAAUUAUAAACUAAUCUUUACGGAUUAAUUAGCAAACUCAAACACAACGUUAAACUAGCUUGCCAAAACAGCCAUGUUGUUAAUUGCCUACAGUUGACUGCUGCUGCCGAUGGGCGGCAGCCCCUUCUCCUUAACUCGUAUUUUGACAAUUUAUAUCUUGCAUUUGAUUAGUUCGAUUAGGCUGAAUGUUGGAUAUAUACGUGGUAUACCUACCUAUUAUAAAAAAACAGCAACCAAACAUGUUGGGUCAAUAUCACAUAACAAUUGGGAGUGCAAAGGAGGCUCCCCACCCCACCCCCACAUACAUGCUGCUCUACAGCGACUGCUGGUGCCAUUGGCAGCAGCCUUGCAUACAACAUGCUAACUUCUUGACUUCAUUACUUCUAGCUCAUAUGGUGAAUUACAACAAAUUUUAAAUAUGUUAUAUAUAGCAUAUGAGACUAUAUUUAAAAAUUAUAACCUCCCUAUUUCGAACUUUUUAGGCUGCCCAAAACAGUGCUAAAAAAAUGGCUUGACAUACUAAUUUUGUGAGUUUUCGUUUUGGCUUCAAUUCAAACUGCCUUUCGUACUAUUUUGAUUCCUUCAAACCCUUUAACUAACUGUAUAAAAUUUUCAUACAUAUAAUCUUAAACUUUGGCUUUUGCCAAAUUCUUGAUUUUUAAGUAAAACAGUCCAUAUAGGACUUUUAGCGAACAUUUUUUUGCGUUGUUUUGAAAUGCAAAUUUCAUAACCAUUCUUUUGUAUUCCAAACCCAUUUUAGCCUCCUUAUAACUCCACACAACCAACCUAUACCCGUUAGUUCUAAUUCAAGUCCAUAACAUUCAACUGUAUAGUUAAAACAAUUAUACACUACAAGUUUACUACUUUCUUUUUUUUUCCUUUCAAAGUUCUUCUUACAGUUGAUUCCCACAUAAUUAUAAUAUAUCAAUUUCUGAUGUUAGGUAUACAUAGCAUCUAGUGAUAACUCUGUUUUACACAACCAACUUUUAACAAUUUCACACAAAUUACUAGUUUUUCAAUGUAAACCAAAGAAAAGGAACUUACUUUUGAUUGUUUGCUUGAAUUGGUUGAUAGCUACUCCAAUUUAGUUGAUUAAGUAAUCCUUUACUACUAUUUCGCCCAAUCCGUCUUUCAAUUGCAGCAUAAAACUUGAAUUACUUAGUGAUUAGUCUAAGUUUGGUGGGGGUCUUAUAAACUCGGAGUCGGAGUCGGAGUCGGAGUAGAAGAGAAUUGGGGCUUUAGCUUGAGAGCAUUUAUAUGCUUAGUAACUUUUGUAUGCUAAUAAGAGUUUUUUUUAAGAAACGUUUAAAGCUUUUAAAAUUAUCAGACUU
rnacentral:lncRNA from 1 species